GGAGAGUGAUGCAACAGGGUGGUUGCACUCGCCUGCUAAGCGAUGUGUCUGCAAGGAUCACGUUCAACUCGUGCUCUCUCCGC
rnacentral:tRNA from 1 species